UAGGGCCACCAUACUCGGAAUCUGUAGGCCGUCAUUGUACAUACUAUCAAGAUUUCACUUAUGACUGUUUUUCUGGUAUGACAGAAGAUGUUAAAGAAGUGAAGGUGGAAGAAGAUGGCACAAGAUAUGCAUGGCUU